rnacentral:rRNA from 1 species
AACGUAGGAACCGAGCGUUAUCCGAAUUUACUGGGCGUAAAGCGCGUGUAGGCGGUUCGGUAAGUUGGAUGUGAAAUCUCCCGGCUCAACUGGGAGAGGUCGUUCAAUACUGUCGGACUGGAGGGUGGUAGAGGGAGGUGGAAUUCCCGGUGUAGUGGUGAAAUGCGUAGAUAUCGGGAGGAACACCAGUGGCGAAAGCGGCCUCCUGGACCAUACCUGACGCUCAGACGCGAAAGCUAGGGGAGCGAACGGG